CAGUUUGUUCGAUUUUGUUCUAAUAUUUUGAGAAAAUUCAGUUCUAAGUGUUCUUAUUAAAUUUGUUCUUAUAAUCUUAUAAAAGAGUGUAUUGCACUUACCAAUUAGUGCUUUUUCGUUUUCAUCUUCUAUUAACGGCCGUUUUAUUCCAAUUUCAUCCUUUUCCCUGUUUACAACGGCAUUAGCUUCACCCAUUAUCUCAAACAAGCCCUCGUCGUCACUUCUCUUACCCAAACCAUCGCCAAUUCCUUCUGCAUCAGACUCCACAUCCGUCCCCAAUCUUUCACGACUUUCGUCUCCACUAAUCUCCGCAUCCGUCCCCAAUCUUUCACGACAUUCGUCUCCACUAAUCUCGGCAUCCGUCCCCAAUCUUUCACGACUUUCGUCUCCACUAAUCUCCGCAUCCGUCCCCAA
rnacentral:lncRNA from 1 species